rnacentral:rRNA from 1 species
CGCCCUUAGAGUUUGAUCAUGGCUCAGGACGAACGCUGGCGGCGUGCCUAAUACAUGCAAGUCGAACGCAGCUUGCUUUGGUAAGAUGAGUGGCGAACGGGUGAGUAACACGUGGGUAACCUGCCUAUCAGAGGGGGAUAACACUUGGAAACAGGUGCUAAUACCGCAUAGAUUUCUUUCGCAUGAAAAGAGAGGAAAGACGUACGUGUCACUGAUAGAUGGACCCGCGGUGCAUUA